UAAGAGUCGUUCAUUCAUUGGGCUAGUCAUACGUCAAUCACUUCAGCUGGGCCAAUGAGAACAGCAGCAUCCUCGCCAGAAAUAGAAGACACCCUCCCGGUGCAGACAGCAAAAGGCCUGUUUCAAGUGAGGGAUGGCUAGUUCAAGGACAGGAGGGUGACAUCACAAGGACCAAUCUGUAAGCCAGAAGACUCAGAAGACUAAAAAGGCAAAAUUAGGUGUGGAGUGGAAAGGGAGGGGGAAGCCCAGGAGUGUUUGCAAUUCUGGAUCUUAAGGCCAUUUAAAUUUUAAAGUUACUGGGGGCGGGAGACAGCGUGUAUGCCAUAACUGCAUGGGCAGAAGUCAGAAUAAACCUGGAAGGAGUUUAUUCGUUCCUCCUACC
rnacentral:lncRNA from 1 species